AAAACCCCACUUGACAGAAAGGUAAUAAAGAGAAACCUCCCUCAGAAGUUCUAAAGGACGUACCACAAUGAUACUGAACACCAAUCUGAUGUCCCAAGGUGGAGUCCCGCUGUGUAGUUGUUGAAGGUGUACAAAAUAGCCUCAGGAGAACUGUUUGAUCUAAACUAAACUCUGCAACAGGGUUGUCCAUCCACCGUGCCUAUAGUUCUGAAGGGAGACCAAAACUGACCAGCUCUUCAGAAAGAAAACUAUCCCUGAGCCAGCAACUGACUUGUCUGAAAGCAGGCUAAUGACCCAUUGGAGGAAAUAUGAGCCAUACUAUGUGGAAUUAGGAUUCCUCUGUACCUCCUCAGCUAACUGACAGCUCAGCAGCAGUAAAUUCUACCUGUUGGAUUAGAACAGAGCUCUGGAAGCUUUACAUUAUUUACAGUACAUAGUCC